GAUGAACGCUAGCGGCAGGCUUAACACAUGCAAGUCGAGGGGCAGCACAGGUAGCAAUACUGGGUGGCGACCGGCGCACGGGUGCGUAACGCGUGGGUAACCUGCCCUAUACACACGGAUAACGUACCGAAAGGUACGCUAAUACGAGAUAAUAUAUUUUUAUCGCAUGGUAGAAAUAUCAAAGCUCCGGCGGUAUAGGAUGGACCCGCGUCUGAUUAGCUAGUUGGUAAGGUAAUGGCUUACCAAGGCGACGAUCAGUAGCCGACCUGAGAGGGUGAUCGGCCACAUUGGAACUGAGACACGGUCCAAACUCCUACGGGUGGCUG
rnacentral:rRNA from 1 species